GUUAGUGAUGGACGUGUUCUUUCAGUUACUUUCGGUUGCAAAUCAAUUUACCGCGAAAGUUUCUUGAUAAUGGCGCCGUCAAAUCAAUAACGUGCAAACCAUGUGGUAUCAUAAAUUAUUAACAUUUUGCGGAAAUGGUUAAAUUGCCGUUUGAGAAAUGAUGAAGCCAAGAUUAACAAAACCGCUUCACUUACACGAAAGACAAUUUAAACACCAGGCGUUGUGACCCAUAACAAUCAACAUCGGAAUUAUUAUUU